AUGAAAAAACACGAGAGUUUGGAGCUUGACUCAAAGACGCGAGAGUCCGAGCUCACGACGGCCCUCGAAAGCGCCAAGUUUGGCAAGGCCGAAGCCCAAAAAGCCCUCCAGGAAGUUGAGGCGAUGAAGAAGAUAGCGCCAAGAGCAUUCGCAGAUUUGCCCCGUAGCGUGUCAGAUGCCGCCGCCUUCUACCGGGCCGAGGAGGGGAGCUCGACGGAGAAGGUGUUCUGGUCUCAGUACGCUGAGGCCGGACACCCGGUGCCCUUGAGCGACCAGCUGAAGAAACUGGUCGAGCUCCAUAAGGUGGCCGAACAGGCCAUGAAGGGCCUCAAAGUUCGGCUGUGGCCCGGAGAGGCUCUGCCUGGGAGCUACUUUGGGCUAGUGAGGCGGGUGGUGGAUGCGUGUCCGUGGCUUGAAGUUAUAAAGCGCUCCGCCUGCAUCGAGGGUGCCCGUAGGGCGCUUGCCCGUGCUAACGUGCACUGGGGCAAGAUGGAUGCGGAGAAGCUGGUGAAGGACGGGCCACCGCAAGGCAAGGAGCAUCGCCACCCCGAGAUGUACUAUGAGGGCGUCCUGAAGGGUGCCCGCCUUGUGGCGGAUGAAUGUUCCAGGGAUGUAAUAUUUGAGUAA
rnacentral:rRNA from 1 species